rnacentral:rRNA from 1 species
UACGGGGGGAGCAAGCGUUGUUCGGAUUUACUGGGCGUAAAGGGCGCGUAGGCGGUCGUGACAAGUCACUUGUGAAAUCUCCGGGCUUAACUCGGAACGGUCAAGUGAUACUGUCGGACUAGAGUACAGAAGGGGCAACUGGAAUUCUCGGUGUAGCGGUGAAAUGCGUAGAUAUCGAGAGGAACACCUGCGGCGAAGGCGGGUUGCUGGGC